GAAUUGUGGAUACAUGAAAACACAACUUUUCUUCUCUACCAUAUAUUUUUAUUGUUUACACAAAUUCAAAAGUUACCUUCUAUAAAAUUUAAAUUCUUCUUCUUUUAUAAGAUUAGGGGAUGAUAAAUCUAAAAUAUACCCAGAUUUAAAACCUCAUAGAACCAACUCGAAAAAAAAGAAGAAGAAAGAAAUGAGAUCUGGAUAAUCUCUCAACAAUAAAACGGAAACCAACUAGAAGACCAUUGAAAUCUAAAACAAUUUUUUUUUUCAGCCACCGACCUUUUAUCUGAGAGGUUAAUUUGUGCGAUUACAUUUUUUGUCCUCCAACGAAAUCUAAAACAAAUCCACAAAAAAA
rnacentral:lncRNA from 1 species